UACGGAGGAUCCGAGCGUUAUCCGGAUUUAUUGGGUUUAAAGGGUGCGUAGGUGGCCUGUUAAGUCAGGGGUGAAAGACGGUAGCUCAACUAUCGCAGUGCCCUUGACACUGAUGGGCUUGAAUGAACUAGAGGUAGGCGGAAUGUGACAAGUAGCGGUGAAAUGCAUAGAUAUGUCACAGAACACCAAUUGCGAAGGCAGCUUACUAUGGUUUUAUUGACACUGAGGCACGAAAGCGUGGGGAUCAAACAGG
rnacentral:rRNA from 1 species